GAUGAAGAACGUAGCGAAAUGCGAUACGUAAUGUGAAUUGCAGAAUUCAGUGAAUCGUCGAAUCUUUGAACGCAUAUUGCGCUCUCUGGUAUUCCGGAGAGCAUGCUUGUUUGAGUAUCAGUAAACACCUCAACUUCCAUAUCUUUUUUGAAAUGGGAGUUGGACUUGAGUGAUCCCAACGCUUUUCCUCACCGAAAAGUGGCGGGUUACUUGAAAUGCAGGUGCAGCUGGACUUUUCUCUGAGCUAUAAGCAUAUCUAUUUAGUCUGCCUAAAAAACAGAUUAUUACCUUUGCUGCAGCUAACAUAAAGGAGAUUAGUUCUUGUGCUGACUGAUGCAGGAUUCACAAAGACAGGCUUCGGCCGACUUUGUAAACUCGAUCUCAAAUCAAGUAAGACUACCCGCUGAACUUAAGCAUAUCAAUAAGCGGAGGA
rnacentral:misc_RNA from 1 species